UACGUAGGGAGCAAGCGUUGUCCGGAAUCAUUGGGCGUAAAGCGCGCGUAGGUGGCCACAUAAGUCCGUUGUGAAAGUCAAAGGCUCAACCUUUGAAAGCCGAUGGAUACUGUGUGGCUAGAGUACGGAAGAGGCGAGUGGAAUUCCUGGUGUAGCGGUGAAAUGCGUAGAUAUCAGGAGGAACACCCGAGGCGAAGGCGGCUCUCUGGGCCGAUACUGACGCUGAGGAGCGAAAGCGUGGGGAGCGAACAGG
rnacentral:rRNA from 1 species